AGGAGUUUAGGUUAACCAAAACCAAGAGCCUUCAAAGCUCUAAACAUGCCACAAGGCAUAAUUCCUG
rnacentral:tRNA from 1 species